CACAAUUCUAUAUAUAACACUAUAUCAUUUUCCUUACACACAAUAUCUUUUCGAUUAAUUUACCGUAUGGUUAAUUGAAACGUGAUCGGACAAAAAAAUGAUAGCAUACGAAAGCACAUGUAAAUUUCCUCGGAUAAUUGAACCCGGUUAAUUGAUUUUCCUGCUUAGUUGGUUCGAAAUUUUGACAUUAGCGCAUGUACAUAUUUCUCAGCAUUUGUGAUAAACACUGGGUGGUGGUGGUUUACUAAGCAAUUGAAAACAUAUGUUUACUGAUGAAGGAAACCUAUGAUAAAGCACUAUGACCGCAAAACGAUACGUAACUCUUAUAAUUAAGGAUAAGCUUAAAUUUUUUCUGAAGCCAAAUGCAAGCCCAAGUCUGAGCUGUGCAAAAAGUAUGGGUGCUCUCUCACCACAUUGAAUAGAAUUUGCCAAAUGAGCUCGACAUAAAGACAAAAUCCGCCCAGUACAAAUUGUCAAGCAUGCAUGAACGGUAUGAAAUCUGCAGAUUCGAAUGCGGAACUAGAUUUUUUAAAUGCUGUUGCUUAAAAACAUUAUUCUGUUGCAAAUAAUGCAGCUUGUCACAAAAAGGUCCAGAAUUAAAGAAUUAAAAAUUCAGUUUUUACCGGCAAA